GGAAUUGGUUGAAAUCUUACAAUCGAUGAUUGGUUCAUUACCAAUGAGCAAUCAUCAAAAAAACAUUGGUUAGCAUCAUGUUUCAGAUCGUCCUGUUCAGGUUGUUACUGCAGAUAAGUCUAAUAUAUCAUGAACUUAAACUUCCCCGAGGCUUCAAGGAAUCUUCAGUCAUGACUUUUCAGUAAGUGAA